rnacentral:rRNA from 1 species
UACGGAGGGUGCAAGCGUUAUCCGGAUUCACUGGGUUUAAAGGGUGCGUAGGUGGGUCUGUAAGUCAGUGGUGAAAUCUUCGAGCUUAACUCGGAAACUGCCAUUGAUACUAUAGGUCUUGAAUUUUCUGGAGGUAAGCGGAAUAUGUCAUGUAGCGGUGAAAUGCUUAGAUAUGACAUAGAACACCAAUUGCGAAGGCAGCUUACUACGGGAACAUUGACACUGAGGCACGAAAGCGUGGGGAUCAAGCAGG